CACCCCGCCACUCCUGAGCACCGCACACCGGCUUCCUCCCAGUCCCUCAUCUGAGAACUCAUGAAGCCACUUGGAAUCCCUCUCUGCUUUGCCUGGCUCAUUCCAUGUCAAUUUCAGAUCUUCACUUCAGGUCAGCUCCAAGGAGGCUAUCCUUGCCCAUCUUCCUAAAAUAGAGCUCUCAAAACCUGGCUGUUUUCCUUCAGAGCACUGGCCUCCAAUUGCUCCGGUAGAUUGCAAAUGACCUGCUUUCUUUCUGUUCCCGGGCUGCGUUCGGACCCCUGUCGGAUAGUAACUCCCAAGUAAGGUACCUGCCGUCGGCAGAUUGGAGCUUUCUUCUUGGAGACCUAAUACCCACAGUCCUCCAGAAAAACAAACAAAGACAUGGAUUUACUGUGCAUAUUAGCAGAUCCAUACUGGAAAAUGCAUGGAGGUUUCAUAUACACCACUUACAGUUUUCAGCUCCUCAGUAGUGACAAAGCCAUACCCAUCAUUGUCGAUUCGAUCAACAAUCUUCCCUAGCCUCUCCUUGCUCUCGUCCGGGGUGAGCUCGUCGAAGUUCUUGGAGUCCUCCUUGCCCAGGAAGGCCUCGUGGUCGUACUGGAAGCUCUGGUUGUCCUCAGGGGGCCGCUCGCCCAGCUCCGAGUCGGGCCGCACCACGCGCUCUUUGCGCACCGUGGGCUUGGCCCGCAGAACCCGCGGCGCCAGCACCAGCGCCAGCAGCAGCCCCAGGGCUAACCCCAGGCGGCCACCGCGCGCCAUCGUCCCGAGGAGAGGGCGGCCGGGAGGGAGACGCUGAGCGAGCGACAACAGCGGCAGCUCGGGAAUGGGGGCUCGGAGCGCGGCGGCCAAGUUUUAUGUUAUGUAUAUUUUACAAGUAAAAAAAUUUUUUCACCUCAGCCUGAACUGAACACUAGCUGACAGACGUUUUGAUUUCUUUGACCAUCACGGAAUCGUGGCCAAGCGCGGUGGCUCACAUCUGUAAUCCCAACACUUUGGGAGGUCAAGAUGGGCGGAUUGCUUGAAUCCAGGUGUUUGAGAUCAGCCUGGGCAACAUG
rnacentral:lncRNA from 1 species